rnacentral:pre_miRNA from 1 species
UCUGUACUCCCUCCGUCCCAAAAUUCUUGUCUUAAAUUUGUCUAAAUAUGGAUGUAUCUAGUUACAUUUUAGUGUUAGAUACAUCCGUAUCUAAACAAAUGUAAGACAAGAAUUUUGGGACGGAGGGAAUACUAC